UUGGGGACCACGAACUGUCUCUUGCUUCAACAGUGUUUGGACGGAACAGAUCCCGGGGACUCUUUCUUCCAGCCUCUGAUCACCCUCUGAUUUCCUCUCCACUUGCAACCUCCAGGACCGUUUUCUCGGCCAUCUCCUGCUUCUAGGACCUGCCAACACCGUUUUUGUGGUUAGCUCCUUCUUGCCGACCAUGAGCUCCCAGAUUCGUCAGAAUUAUUCCACCGAUGUGGAGGCAGCCAUCACCCGCCUGGUCCAUGUGUACCUGCAGGCCUCCUCCACCUGCCUCUCUCUGGGCUUCCAUUUCCUCUACGAUGAUGUGUCUCUGGAAAGCGUGAGCCACUUCUUCCGCGAAUUGGCCGAGGAGAAGAGCGAAGCCUACAAGCGCCUCCUGAACAUGCAAAACCAGCGUGGAGGCCGCGCUGUCUUCCAGGACGUCAAGAAGCCCGCUUGAGAUGAAUGGGGUAAAACCCUGGGUGCCACAGAAGCUGCCACGGCCCUGGAGAAAAAUCUGAACCAGGCCCUUUUGGGUCUUCAUGCCCUGUGGUCUGCCCGCAUGGACCCCCAUCUCUGUGACUUCCUGGAGAGUCAGUUCCUAAAUGAGGAAGUGAAACUCAUCAACAAGGUGGGUGACCACCUGACCAACCUCUCCACAGGCUGGCCAGCCUAGAGGCGAGGCUGAGCUGGGUGAAUAUCUCUUGGAAAGGCUCACUGUCAGGCAUGACUAG